CUAACACAUGCAAGUCUACUUGAAGCUACUGCUUGCAGUAGUGAAUGGUGGCGAACGGGUGAGUAACGCGUAGAUAACCUACCAUUUAAUUUGGGAUAAUUCACUGAAAAGAGGACUAAUACCGAAUGUGUUCUUUAGAUGGCAUCAUCUUUAGAAAAAAGUUUUUGGACGUUAAAUGAUGGGUCUGCGUAUCAUUAGUUAGUUGGUAAGGUAAUGGCUUACCAAGACAUCGAUGAUUAGCUGGUCUGAGAGGAUGAUCAGCCACACUGGGACUGAGAUACGGCCCAGACUCCUACGGGAGGCAGCAGUGAGGAAUAUUGCACAAUGGGGGCAACCCUGAUGCAGCAACGCCGCGUGUACGAAGAAUCUGAAUACAGUGUAAAGUACUGUUAGAAGGGACGAAAUGUUAGAUUAGUAGUCUGACUUGCCGGUACCUUCUAAGAAAGCUCCGGCUAACUCC
rnacentral:rRNA from 1 species